rnacentral:rRNA from 1 species
AGCCUGCGGUUUAAUUGGACUCAACGCCGGGCAGCUCACCGGAUAAGACAGCUGGAUGAUAGCCGGGCUGAAGACUCUGCUUGACUAGCUGAGAGGAGGUGCAUGGCCGUCGUCAGUUCGUACUGUGAAGCAUCCUGUUAAGUCAGGCAACGAGCGAGACCCACGCCAACAGUUGCCAGCAUGUCCUCCGGGAUGAUGGGGACACUGUUGGGACCGCCUCUGCUAAAGAGGAGGAAGGAAUGGGCAACGGUAGGUCAGCAUGCCCCGAAUUAUCCGGGCUACACGCGGGCUACAAUGGUCAGGACAAUGGGUAUCGACACCGAGAGGUGGAGGCAAUCUCCUAAACCUGUCCUUAGUUCGGAUUGUGGGCUGCAACUCGCCCACAUGAAGCUGGAAUCCGUAGUAAUCGCGUUUCAAAAUAGCGCGGUGAAUAUGUCCCUGCUCCUU